CUCCUCCUCUUCCUCUCCCCUCGCGCUGCCUCAGCUCCCCCCUGUCCGCUCCCUGCGCCCGGCUGCGGGUGGGACGGGACGGGACGGGACGGGGGAGGAAGGGAGAAGAUGGUGGAGGAGGAACUGGUGCUGCUCAACAAGCUCCAACAACCUUGGAAACUUUUUUUUUUUUUUUUUUUUUUUUAAUGCCUGAAUAACAUCCCAAAUGGGAUCAUAUUUUUGGUCUCAACCUUUCCCAGAAAGUCACCAACCUGAGCUGGGGCUAGGAUGGAAAAUGUCUGUGACUAAAGCCCCUCCCUUGAGCCCUAUAAACAGCAGCCCUGAGUGAGACCCUUGGAACUCUCCUGGGCCGCAGCAGCUGCAACAGCAGCUGUGAACUCUCCUGUUUGCUGCACUUGGGGCAUCCCCAAAUGAUGACGGGUCCUGGGCUGAGCCCCUCAACUCCUCCAGGCUCUGCCCUGCACCUGGUGGGAAGAUGCAAAGGCAACUGAAAGGAGAAUUCCACUGGAUUCCAGGGGAAUUCCCCACAGGGACCUCGUACAGACGCCUUCUGUCCAUAUGUGUGUGACACUGAAUAUGCCAUAGCAAAUGUCCUGGGAAUGCCGCUCUCCUGGAGUCGGAAGUACUUAAGAUGUGGAGAGCAAGGACAGAGUAGUUUUGAUGGCACCCAGUAUCAAGCCAGGGUCAACCCACCACCAAAUCCUACAUAGUCCAGGACUGCAGGAAAAGCUUUGGAAGAAGCUCCAACCUCAUCAAGCACCAGUUGAUCCAUACUGGGUAGACCCUCUGGAUGCCAAAACUAUGGGAAGGGCUUCACUGUGAGCCCGAAGUUCCUGGAACACCUCUAAGAUCCAUCUGGAGGAGGUCUCUAAAAGUUCUCUGGCUGCAGGAAGAGGCAUAAGGAGUCAAGGUCCUGCCAGAACUAUCACCUGAAGUAGAAGGUGGUGACAAACCUUAAGCCCAGGGCCCCAGGAGCACCUGAGGCUUUCCAGCUAGACUCUGCUGAGCCCCAGGAAGGGGCUCACACAGCCUCUCAUUCUGCCUCCAAAAUCCCUUGGGAUCCCCCAUCCAUCUCUGCAUUCCCCCUCCAAGAUCUCCAGGCUCCUGAGAUGAGCACAAAGGAGUGGAAGUCCCCGACUAGGGAGACCAUAAACCCCAAAAUUUUAUCUCCAUUCACAAAUUUUCUGUUUUCCUCUGCUUUUCCCCUUUCCGUGUUCUGCCACAGCAGGUGGGAGCAGCCAAGAGCUCAGCGCUGCCCAUCCAGACCUGCCCCAGCUCCAUCCCUGCUCCUCCUGCGGGACACAAGGGGUUUUGGGGGGAAGGGUGGGCGCUGGUUGUGGGAGGAGGAGGAGGAGAAGGAAUGGAAGAGGAAGGACGAAGAAGGAGCGGGAUGAGGGCGGAGGUAAGAGGAGAAGGAGGUGGGAGUACAGAGGACGAGGAAGAGGAAGCGGAAAGGAAUGAAGCUCACGGGGACAGCGCUGAGUGUAUCCGCAGCCGCUCCCCUCGCGGGAGCAUUGCCUGCACACCUUCAUCCCGCAGGUGACUGGGGAGGGGCAGCUCGCCCCAAAUAUCUUGAGAGGGAGGGGAGUGUCCCUGGGACUAUUUUAUUUUUCGGGGGGGCGAAGAUAUUUCAAGUUCACCCCGAAUAUCUUGGGGCAGGUCUCUUGUUUUUUUUUCGGGGGAUGGGGGAAUGUUUCGUCCUUGCAGGAUACCAAAGCAAACGCCCCCUGGGAGGAUUCUGCGGAGUCUCCAGGAGGUGUUUUUUUGUGAGGAUGGUCCCAGGGGCGCCUGCCGGCCGUGGGCGGGGGAUUACCCCGCCUGCUGGGGCUGCGCCUUGCCGGGUCCGGCCCUGCUGCCUCCGCUGCCAGCCCAGAGCUGCCGAUGGCGGCCGGCGGGAGGUAUGACACGUGCUGGGGACUCUCCCGGGAGAGCCGGAUGGGGUGUGGGAGCACUGGGACCCCCAGAAUGGGGACAGUGGAGAGGGGCCAUACCGAAGCUUGAGGACCCAUAGCAGCCUGGAAGCGGAUGAAGAAUGGAGAGGAGGGGGCCCGGUGAGGAGGGAUCCUGAAAAGGGGGGAGUCCCGCCGGGACCCUGAAAUUGGGAACCUGGAGAGGGGAAACCCCUGGGAGCCUAGAAAGGAGGGAGGAGCCUGAAAGGGGAAAGCAUGGAGAGGGGGCACCCCCAGGAGUCUGGAGAGGGGUAUCGCCUUGUAGCCCUGAGAGAGAAGGAAGGAGCCUGGAGAGGUGGGAGCCCUUGGAUCCCCGGGAUGCUGAAAAGGGAACCCUGGAGACAGGGGACCCCCAGGGGCCUAGAGAGUGGGGAUCCUGGAGAGGGGUGGGUUAUGACCAACCUCUGAAGAUUUAUAGUGGUAUCUAUCUGUCUGUCUAUCUGUCUAUCUAUCUAUCUAUCUAUCUAUCUAUCUUUAUGCACAUUUUUUUUGAGAACUCCCCAGUUUGGAUGUAGUGGAAAGGAGGUAGGCAACCAUUUUGGUUAUGAUUAUCUACAGAAAUGCAACAAUAUAAAAGCAUAAAAAUAACAUGUAAGAAAACAUAUAAGGAAAAGAAAGAAAGAGAAAGAAAGGUUAAGAGUAGAAAGGUAUAACUAUCUGUGGAUCCAGACAUGGGACUUGACUGUUGCGAUUUUGAUGUCGGUUGAAGUGAUGGUCACUGUGCUGAUUUGCUGGGGCUGGGUGAGGCCCAUGAAACACAGACUUCAGUGGGUUAAUAUAUGCUUGGGGUUUUGCAGGAAGGUCUAUGUUCUUCCCCUGGAAGGGGGAGUUUGCACAGUCUGUUGAAACACUGUGGAUUUGUUACAACACUGUGGAUUUAUUGCAACACUAGAUCAUAUGCAGUGCUCCGGUGGAAGGCUCCAGAAAUGAGUCUGCCCCAUCAGAAGGGAUGAAAACCUUCAGCCCUCUGUCUGAAUGUUCCAGUAUGUCUGAAUGUCCCAGUAUGUCCCUUGGGGAGGGGGGAGUUUUUACAAUUGAGCCAGUUGUGUUAAGGAUAAAAUUGCCCUGCUCAAAAGCACUGUCCCACCUUGCUGGAUCAGCUUAUUAUAGGAUUCUUCCCUUAUUUGGCUCAAAGCCCAGCUUCUUGCUAAACCAAGUUUGAUUUGUUGUGGUCAUCCGCUGGGGCUCACACCCUCUGCAUCUGGGCUGUUCCCUUGGACAUAAUCAACAAAGCCCCCCUGCUUUUACAAAUGGCCAAUUGUUUGAGCCAUUAACCCAGAACAUUCCAGUCUCUCACAGUGAGACCUUCAGAAGCACUAACAGCUCAGAGUGGAGGAAGUCUUGGGGCCCCCAGCAGCCCAGGGAGCCCUGGAAUUCUGAAAUGGUGAGUCUAUAGAGGGGGGACUCCCAGCAGCCUGGAGGUGGCGGGGAGCAUGGAAAGGGGGAGCCCCAGGACCCCUGUCAUGAUCCACUGGUAGGGGAGUGAUGUUUGUUAUAAAUUUGCAUCAAGCUAAACAAAGACCCGGACACAUCUUACGUUUUGUUGUUCCCAGCAGUUCCAUGAGUUCUCUCCUCCCACCACAAACUCCUCCAAGGCACUGGCUUACAAGUGUGUGGAGCAGCACAACUCCACAAUGUCCCCAGUCCCACCACAGUUCGUGUGGAGAAUGGGAGAGGUGUGCUUUGCCCAGGCACAGCCAGGGAAGGAAGCAAAGAAUAUUUCCAGUGCUUCAAUCCUGUGUUGGUGCUGCCAUGUGGAUGGGCUAGAGCUGGGCAGAAAAAAAACAGAAAGAGAGAGGAGAGAGGGAGAAUAAAGAGAGGCAGGGAAAACAGAGAAAAAAGAGCGAGGGGGCCUGAUCUGCUCCCUUUUGUAGUUCACCUGGUGCAGCCUCUUGUGUAAACCAGACUUUUGGUGGGUUUUGUUCCUGUGGGUGCAGGUGUUCUUCUCCAGUGGGUGAGACAGGGGGGCUGAGCACAAGUCUUGGGGCAGAGCAGGGAGUUCCUAGAAUCACAGAGUAGGCUGAGUUGGAAGGGACCCAUCAGGAUCACCAGUCUUUCUCUGGGACUUGCACAGAACACUCCAACAAUCCCACCAUAGGCUGACAACAUUGUCCAAAUGCUCCUUGAACUGAGACAGGUUUGGAAUUGUGACCACUUCCCUGGGCAGCUUCUUCAGUGCCUGACCAGCUGGGGUAAAAACCUUUUCCUGAUACCUCACCUAAACCUCCCUGACUCAGCUCCAGCUGUUUCCUUGAGUCCUGCCACUGAUCACAAGAGUGGAGAGGUUGGUACCUGCUCCUCUGCUGCCCCUUGGGAGGAUGCUGAAGAGCUCAGUGAGGUCUGCCCUCAGUCUCCUCCAGCUGAACAGAUAAAGUGACCUCAAUGGCUCCUCAUAAAGCUUCCACUCCAGACCUUUCCCAUCCUUGUGGCCUCCUUUGGAUGCUCUCCAGUGGCUAAAUGUCUUUUUUAUGUUUUCGUGCCCAAAACUGCCCCCAGGACUCAAGGAGGCUGCCCCGUGCAAAGCAGAGGACAAACCCCUCCCCAGCCAGGCUGACGAUGCUGGGCCUGAUGACGCCAGGACAUGGAUGGCCCUCCUGGCUGCCAGGCACUGCUGAUUUAGAUCCAAGUGGACAUUGACCAGGACCUCCAGGUCCCUCCCCACAGCUGCUCUCCAGUAUCUUAUUCCCCAGUCCAUACACACAACCAGGGGCACCAUCUCAGGUGCAGAAUCUUGCACUCGCCCGUGUUAAACUUCACACUGUUGGUGAUUGCCCGCAUCUCUGAUUUGUCGAGGCUUUUUUCAGGGCCUCUCUGCCUGUGCAGGAGUUCAUAGCUCCUUCCAAUUUAGUAUUGUUGGCAAACUUUCUUAGUAUUCAUUUGAGUCCUGCCUCCAAGUCAUUUAUGAAGAUGUUGAAGAGAACUGGGCUGAUGAUGGAUCCCUGUGGAACCCCACUAGUGACUGGUGCCAGCUUGAUUUCACCUGUCACUGUCACCCUUUGUGCCCAACAUGUAACACAGUUAUUCAGCUGUGGGCUGGAACGCGCCCUGGGCCUGGAGCAGGAGCAGCUUUUGAGGGCCAUGAGGCUGGGGCUCUUGUGCUGGCAUGGGCAGAUGGGAUGGCAGCAGGGGCUGCAGAGCUCUCAGGAUCUCCUGGAGAGGGGAGCAGGGCACUCAGGGAGCCUCCUUUGGCCUUGGCCCAGCACCUUCCCCCAUGGCUGGGGCUGAGUCCUGUGUGAGCUGCAGCUGCUGCUGUGCCCUUGGCAGGGGCUGAGGCCGUGGGGCCAGUGGCCAGAGCAGCCUGGCCUGAGCAGAGCUGUGGGGCCAGAGCCGGCUGGGCUGGGCUGGGGAGAGGCCCUUGGUGCUGCCCAGAGCUCAGGGCAGCUGGCAGAGCUUGCAGGGAGCUGGGCUGGGCUCAGAGAGCCUGCCCCAGAAACCAUCAGCAUCCAUCUCAGCCUGGCUGAGUGUGCAGGGGCAGGACUCAGCCCAGGCCUUGUGGGGCAGGGCCAGCGCCUGUGCAAGGCAUUGCAAACAGGCAAAUGCCCCAGAGAGGAGGCUGCUCUGUGCCCUUAGGGGCAUGGACAGAGCAGGGAGGGGUCCCAGGACAUUUGUCACUGCCAGCCUCUGUCCCCAGCCCUUGGCAGCCCUGGCUGCUGAGCCCAGCUUUGCCCUGGGCUGAGUUUGGCUGCGGCCCAGCUCCAUCCUCCUGCGGGGCUCAGGGCCUGUUCCUGGCCAUGGCCAGCCCUGGCCGGCCUCUCUGCUGGCCCAGAGGCCGGCAGAGCCCGGGGCAGGGCUGUCUGUGCAGGCCCACAGGUGCCAUGGGCUGUGCAGGAGCUGGCAGAGGCUGCCCAGCAGGGAGGCCAUGGGGCACAGAGCCCCAAGGCUGCUGUGGGCACCACGGCACAGGGGCCGUUCCCAGCCGCAAUGCUCCUGGCCUUGGGCUUGGGGCCCAAGGGACAUGUGAGGAAGCAGGGCUGCGAUGUCACAGGACAGGUUACAAACAGGAGCCAUGAAGAAACUGGGUAACAGCAAGGCCAGCAAGAGACAGGGAAUUUCUGUGCAUUGUUUGUGCUGUGCAGGGCUGCUUCAGAACAGGGAGGGGGAUUUAAUACCAGCAAACGCUGAUACUGAUAUUGAGGGAUAAAAUGGCUUCUUUGCCUGAGUCUUUGCUGGAAAGGUCUCUCAGAUCUCUGCAUUCAUUGAAGGGCUACAAGGAGGAGGAAAGCAUGUAUUGACAGGAACCUCACUGGGGGGGGGGGUGGAAGGGGUUAAAAGCAGAAGAUUUGGCAAGGAAUAAAAAACCAAGAAAAACUAUAUUUUCACUCAAACAUGACCUUGCAGCUGAAAUAUGCUAAUAUUUGGUGGGAGAAAUUUCACAUAUUGUGAUUGCUUUGGGUUGUUUCUGUCUGCUUUGAGAAGUGGAAUUUCUGCAGAAGAGGAUGUUGUAAAAAAGUCCUAAAAUGCAUUUUGCACAGACCUUAGGCCUCCUGGUGAGAGGGAAGAGAGAUAAGAAGCUCGGAGAUUGCAAAAGCACAGCCUUGUGAAGAAAUGUGUCUUUGAUGGGCCCUGUGGUAUGUUAUGGCCGGGGAACGGGCUUGGCAUGUGUUCUUUUUGCUCCUGUUAAGAUGGAAUAAGCUUAGGACUGUAUAUGUCCCCUUUUCCUAGCGUGGCGAUAGAAUAAAUCUACUCUUUACACUUCA